rnacentral:rRNA from 1 species
AGCUACAGGCUUAACACAUGCAAGUCGAGGGGCAGCAUGGUCUUAGCUUGCUAAGGCCGAUGGCGACCGGCGCACGGGUGAGUAACACGUAUCCAACCUGCCGUCUACUCUUGGACAGCCUUCUGAAAGGAAGAUUAAUACAAGAUGGCAUCAUGAGUCCGCAUGUUCACAUGAUUAAAGGUAUUCCGGUAGACGAUGGGGAUGCGUUCCAUUAGAUAGUAGGCGGGGUAACGGCCCACCUAGUCUUCGAUGGGUAGGGGUUCUGAGAGGAAGGUCCCCCACAUUGGAACUGAGACACGGUCCAAACUCCUACGGGAGGCAGCAGUGAGGAAUAUUGGUCAAUGGGCGAGAGCCUGAACCAGCCAAGUAGCGUGAAGGAUGACUGCCCUAUGGGUUGUAAACUUCUUUUAUAAAGGAAUAAAGUCGGGUAUGGAUACCCGUUUGCAUGUACUUUAUGAAUAAGGAUCGGCUAACUCCGUGCCAGCAGCCGCGGUAAUACGGAGGGUCCGAGCGUUAUCCGGAUUUAUUGGGUUUAAAGGGAGCGUAGAUGGAUGUUUAAGUCAGUUGUGAAAGUUUGCGGCUCAACCGUAAAAUUGCAGUUGAUACUGGAUAUCUUGAGUGCAGUUGAGGCAGGCGGAAUUCGUGGUGUAGCGGUGAAAUGCUUAGAUAUCACGAAGAACUCCGAUUGCGAAGGCAGCCUGCUAAGCUGCAACUGACAUUGAGGCUCGAAAGUGUGGGUAUCAAACAGGAUUAGAUACCCUGGUAGUCCACACGGUAAACGAUGAAUACUCGCUGUUUGCGAUAUACAGCAAGCGGCCAAGCGAAAGCGUUAAGUAUUCCACCUGGGGAGUACGCCGGCAACGGUGAAACUCAAAGGAAUUGACGGGGGCCCGCACAAGCGGAGGAACAUGUGGUUUAAUUCGAUGAUACGCGAGGAACCUUACCCGGGCUUAAAUUGCAGAUGAAUUACGGUGAAAGCCGUAAGCCGCAAGGCAUCUGUGAAGGUGCUGCAUGGUUGUCGUCAGCUCGUGCCGUGAGGUGUCGGCUUAAGUGCCAUAACGAGCGCAACCCUUGUUGUCAGUUACUAACAGGUUCUGCUGAGGACUCUGACAAGACUGCCAUCGUAAGAUGUGAGGAAGGUGGGGAUGACGUCAAAUCAGCACGGCCCUUACGUCCGGGGCUACACACGUGUUACAAUGGGGGGUACAGAGGGCCGCUACCACGCGAGUGGAUGCCAAUCCCCAAAACCUCUCUCAGUUCGGACUGGAGUCUGCAACCCGACUCCACGAAGCUGGAUUCGCUAGUAAUCGCGCAUCAGCCACGGCGCGGUGAAUACGUUCCCGGGCCUUGUACACACCGCCCGUCAAGCCAUGGGAGCCGGGGGUACCUGAAGUGCGUAACCGCGAGGAGCGCCCUAGGGUAAAACUGGUGACUGGGGCUAAGUCGU